rnacentral:rRNA from 1 species
CAAUAGCGUAUAUUAAAGUUGCUGCAGUUAGAACGCUCGUAGUCGGAUUUCGGGGCGGGCCGACCGGUCUGCCGAUGGGUACGCACUGGUCGGCGCGUCCUUCCUUCCGGAGACCGUGCCUACUCUUAACUGAGCGGGGGCGGGAGACGGAUCGUUUACUUUGAAAAAAUCAGAGUGUUUCAAGCAGGCAGCUCGCUCUUGCAUGGAUUAGCAUGGGAUAAUGAAAUAGGACUUUGGUGCUAUUUUGUUGGUUUCGAACACCGAAGUAAUGAUUAAAAGGGACAGUCAGGGGCACUCGUAUUCCGCCGAGAGAGGUGAAAUUCUCAGACCAGCGGAAGACGAACCACUGCGAAAGCAUUUGCCAGGGAUGUUUNCACUGA